rnacentral:rRNA from 1 species
AUUGAACGCUGGCGGCAGGCCUAACACAUGCAUGUCGAACGGUAACAGGAAGCAGCUUGCUGCUUUGCUGACGAGUGGCGGACGGGUGAGUAAUGUCUGGGAAACUGCCUGAUGGAGGGGGAUAACUACUGGAAACGGUAGCUAAUACCGCAUAACGUCUCAAGACCAAAGAGGGGGACCUUCGGGCCUCUUGCCAUCGGAUGUGCCCAGAUGGGAUUAGCUAGUAGGUGGGGUAACGGCUCACCUAGGCGACGAUCCCUAGCUGGUCUGAGAGGAUGACCAGCCACACUGGAACUGAGACACGGUCCAGACUCCUACGGGAGGCAGCAGUGGGGAAUAUUGCACAAUGGGCGCAAGCCUGAUGCAGCCAUGCCGCGUGUAUGAAGAAGGCCUUCGGGUUGUAAAGUACUUUCAGCGGGGAGGAAGGGAGUAAAGUUAAUACCUUUGCUCAUUGACGUUACCCGCAGAAGAAGCACCGGCUAACUCCGUG